UCGUACGUACCGCCCGCCACCCCCCACGUUUUGCCCUUUCGCCUCCUCGACUGGACCGUCACUCCCCUCCCGGCCUUUUUCUCUCUAAAAAAUGGCCCCCUCUCUCUCUCUGUCUUCAAAAGGCCGCUGCUCUCUCUGCAACUUAAAAAAGGCUCCUCUCCAUUCCUAAGUUUCCCUCUCCUCUCUCCCUCCCUCAACCUUGUGUCUCUCCCAUCUCUCUCUUGCUUCCUGCGUCUCUCUCUCUUCUUUGAAGAUAGGUAAUGGAGGCGGCUACGCUCUCGCGCAUCGGCCUCGCAGGCCUUGCGGUCAUGGGCCAGAACCUCGCCCUCAACAUUGCCGAGAAGGGAUUCCCGAUCUCCGUGUACAACCGAACCACUUCAAAGGUCGACGACACGGUCCAUCGUGCCAAUGCCGAGGGGGGCCUCCCCCUCUUCGGCCACCGCUCCCCACAGGACUUCAUCCUCUCCAUCCAGCGGCCCCGCUCCAUCGUCAUCCUCGUCAAGGCCGGGAGACCUGUUGACCAGACCAUCGAGACCCUCUCGACCUUCAUGGAGCCCGGGGACUGUUUGAUUGAUGGAGGAAACGAAUGGUAUGAGAACACCGAGCGGCGCAUUGAGGAGGCAUCUGCCCGUGGCCUCUUGUAUCUCGGCAUGGGCGUGUCGGGUGGCGAGGAGGGAGCUCGCAAUGGCCCCUCACUGAUGCCUGGCGGAUCGUUUGAUGCGUAUCAGAAUAUCAGAGAUAUUCUUGAGAAGGCGGCUGCGCAGGUAUCUGAUGGGCCUUGUGUUACUUAUAUAGGACCCGGGGGUUCAGGCAAUUUCGUUAAGAUGGUGCACAAUGGGAUUGAGUAUGGUGAUAUGCAGUUAAUCUCUGAGGCCUAUGAUGUUUUGAAGCAUGUUGGUGGGUUGAGUAACCAGGAAUUGGCUGAGAUUUUCGAGGGGUGGAAUAGGGGGGAGCUUGAGAGUUUCUUGAUUGAGAUCACCUCUGAUAUAUUUAGGGUUAAGGAUGGGUUUGGAGAGGGGGACCUGGUUGAUAAGAUCUUGGAUAAAACUGGGAUGAAGGGGACCGGGAAAUGGACGGUUCAGCAAGCUGCUGAGCUCUCCGUGGCUUCACCCACAAUCGCAGCUUCGCUCGAUUGCAGGUAUCUCAGUGGGUUAAAGGAAGAGAGAGAAGUGGCAUCAAAGGCUUUUUCGGAGUUUGGGUUGAGUGAGGUCUUGGCGAGGCCGGCGGUCGAAAAGAAGAAGCUCAUUGAAGAUGUGAGGCAGGCUUUGUAUGCCUCGAAAAUUUGUAGUUAUGCUCAAGGGAUGAACUUGCUUCGAGCAAAGAGCAUUGAGAAAGGGUGGGGGCUAAACCUUGGUGAACUGGCAAGGAUUUGGAAGGGUGGGUGCAUUAUAAGGGCUGUGUUUUUGGAUAGGAUAAAGAAGGCAUAUGAGAGGAAUCUCGCUCUCCCGAAUCUUAUGGUGGACCCUGAAUUUGCUAGAGAGAUGGUGCAAAGGCAAGCGGCUUGGAGGAGAGUGGUGGGUUUGGCAAUUGAGGCCGGAAUCAGUACACCUGGUAUGAAUGCGAGUUUGGCUUAUUUCGAUAGUUAUAGGCGAGGGAGGCUUCCUGCAAAUCUUGUGCAGGCACAGAGGGACUUGUUCGGGGCUCACACUUAUGAGAGGAUCGAUAGGCCAGGCUCGUAUCAUACUGAGUGGACCAAGCUCGCUAGGCAGAACGAGGCAGGGGGUCCUUCUAAUUCGUGUGUUUUAUCUUUGGCAACAAUGGUUGCUUUGUUCUAGAGAAAUAAGGUACCCUUUUUGGUAACUCUAAACUCAUCAAAAGGAAGGGGACUACUUGGAAGGUCCAUUUCUCAUAAUGUUGUAGAAACGUCCAACAAUGUGAGUUCCAAUGUCACUAUUAAGAGAAUUUCAGGGAGCCAAUAUCAUCAUAUUUGGAAAUGAAAAAGAUAAGGGGUGUGGUUUGUAUAAGAUUAAGGCCCUAAUGGGUCGUUUGGGAAUUGGGACCUAUCUUUAGGAAAACCUGGUUUUAGAUAUCUUGGUUUUGACCCUGGUUGGGUUGUUUGGAUCUGUUUUGAUCGAUCAAGACCUGCUUUGGCUAAUCCUCAAAAGCACCCAAAACGAGCUUAGUCUCAUUCCAGAAAAAACCUGGAAUGAACAUAUCCGAGAAUUGCAAAAUCGUAGCGCUGGUCUCGUGAUCCACGCCGCCCAUUGAUAUCCACUCAGGCCUAUCAUGUUCUCUCUCCACCUCCAAUUUCUUCCCCAAGCCAUUGCACCUCUCGCCCGCACCUUUCCACCAUUGAAGCUCACUGCCCAUCGUGAUUCUCGACCAACACCAGAAAUCAAUCCGCCAUUAACAGACGUGCAUUUCCUACUGUUGUUGCUGGAUUUUUUUGAAGAAAAAAACCUCCAUCAAGAAGACUCAUUUGUGUGACUUUUGUAGAUCGGUUGAGGAAUGCUGCCUUUGUCGAUUUCAAGGAUGAUGUUUUGGCUUCUCAAGCACACGACUCAACAGGUGCUUUUAGGGGUCCCAUAGGUUAUAUCUGUUGAGAGAGCAAGCACGUUGGCAGCAAAUAAGAAGCAGAGAACUGAGGAAGUGUGUAAGCAGGAUGCAUCC